UGCAGACACAAUGUCCUACAUCAGGUAUAACUUCCAAGGUCGAGCAAUGGUUAUCUUCACCCUCAAAAAAAGUUUCCAAAAGACCAACUUUUGCAGCAAAUAGGGUCAUGGAAAGGGUAAAACCUUCCACAGAUGGGGAGUUAGAAAUUGUUAACACUUCUAGUAGUGGAAACAGUCCUUUCCAGACCCCACCGUCACUUUCAUGCCCUCACAACAAGCUUCCUAGUACUGUAACAUGCAGUGCAGCUUGUGGAUUAACGGGGGGUGGACAACA